rnacentral:rRNA from 1 species
UACGUAGGGGGCGAGCGUUGUCCGGAUUUACUGGGCGUAAAGCGCUUGUAGGCGGUCCACCAAGUUUGGGGUGACAGUUGCCGCCUUAAUCGGCAAAGUGCCCCAAAGACUGGCGGACUUGAGGGCCACAGAGGGACAUGGAACUCCAGGUGUAGUGGUGAAAUGCGUAGAUAUCUGGAAGAACACCAAAGGCGAAGGCAGUGUCCUGGGUGGUCGCUGACGCUGAGAGGCGAAAGCCAGGGGAGCGAACGGG